AUGGGGGGAGCAUAUUGGCUCACGCUCCUCAAUUCUGGUCGGGUGUCGUUGGAUUGGGCGGCGAAGAUGGCGAAUUCCGGCGCCUCAGGUGCCACAGGGAUUUCUAGCGACACAUUAUACAAGGAGCUAUGGCAUGCUUGCGCUAGGCCGUUGAUUACAGUGCCUCAUCAAGGUGAAAGGAUUUACUACUUUCACAUGGUUAUAUGGAACAGGGGGGUAAUCUCCAGCCCAAGCAUGCAUGGACAAUGGCCCCAAAGAUGCUGCAAUAGAGCUCGCAACAAGGACCAAACAGCACAAUUGCAUGACAGCCACAUUGAUGAGUUGGGAAACAACAGACGCACAUGUGAUAUGGCAGCAGAGUGCAUGAACCGCUCAGGACUCAAGACUCCAUAA
rnacentral:rRNA from 1 species